rnacentral:rRNA from 1 species
AUUGAACGCUGGCGGCAGGCCUAACACAUGCAAGUCGAACGAGUGGCGGACGGGUGAGUAAUGUCUGGGAAACUGCCUGAUGGAGGGGGGUAACUACUGGAAACGGUAGCUAAUACCUCAUACCAUCAGAUGUGCCCAGCGGGGCGUAGCUGUGUGGUGGGGUAACGGCUCACCAAGGGGACGAUCCCUAGCUGGUCUGAGAGGAUGACCAGCCACACUGGAACUGAGACACGGUCCAGACUCCUACGGGAGGCAGAAGGGGGGAAUAUUGAACAAUGGGGGCAAGCCUGAUGCAGCCAUGGCGCGUGUAUGAAGAAGGCCUUCGGGUUGUAAAGUACUUUCAGCGGGGAGGCGUUACCCGCAGAAGAAGCACCGGCUAACGCCGUGCCAGCAGCCGCGGUAAUAC